GAGGCGGGCAGGGCUGCCAUCCACCAGGAGAGAUCACCUUAAACCAACUGCCUACUCACCUGGGUUGCAGCCACCCUAAGCCCUGUACCCCUGGCACCAGCACAAGUUUAGGGGAGAGACCUUCACUUCUUGCUCUGCCUCUGUGGGAAAGAAUCACUCCGGGUUUCAGAGGUGUUUCUUGUGACCACGAGGACAAGCAUCAGCCGAGGAAGCUAUCUGGAUAGAGCAGUGGAAGCAUGGAUCACAGAGAUGGAAAAGAUGUCAAGGAUCAAGUAAUCUGCCCUUCAUCCCAAUGGUGUUAGCUAAACCACUCCUGCCAGAUGCUGGUUUGGCCUGUUCUUAACCAUCUCCAGCUGCAGAGAUUCCAUAAAGGCAGUUUAUUCCCAAGAUGUUUGCAAAGAUGUGACAGAAAGGUUAAAAUAAGUCUGAAUGGAUGAAAAAGUUCAAGUCUGGAAGGGACAAAAGAAACAGCAGGGGUUAAUAACACCUUGCUGAGCAGGUCCUCACAUCUACAAGGAGCUUCUCUGGACACCUAGACUGGGAAAACAAGAAAUUACUUGAAACAAGGGAGAGCCUAUGGACAGACCAAGACAGCACGAUACCUAGUAUAAAAUUAAACUUCAGUGGCACAAAGCAGUUAUAUCAGCGGCUACCCAAAGUCCGGCAUAUUCAUAUCCUUCAUCAGACAUUACCCAGGAAAUAUCCAGUCUAAUCAGUUUUAAGGAGGUAUCAACUUGAAGAUAAAUACUUCCUUUAUCCUGUUACAUCUGUAUUCAGAUUAUCCAUGUGCUGGGAAUAAAACCUUUGUUCACACGUA